AUUGAACGCUGGCGGCGUGCCUAACACAUGCAAGUCGAGCGGUAACAGGUGUAGCAAUACAUGCUGACGAGCGGCGAACGGGUGAGUAAUGCUUCGGAAUCUGCCCAUGUAGUGGGGAAUAACCAGCCGAAAGGUUGGCUAAUACCGCAUACGACCCUUGCCCACAAGGCAAAGGUGAAAGCAGGGGAUCGCAAGACCUUGCGCUAUUGGAUGAGCCGAAGUCGGAUUAGCUAGUUGGUAGGGUAACGGCCUACCAAGGCGACGAUCCGUAGCUGGUCUGAGAGGACGACCAGCCACACUGGGACUGAGACACGGCCCAGACUCCUACGGAGGCAGCAGUGGGAAUAUUGGACAAUGGGGGCAACCCUGAUCCAGCGACGCCGCGUGUGUGAAGAAGGCCUGCGGGUUGUAAAGCACUUUUAGUGGGGAUGAAAGCUCGGGGCUAAUACCUCCGGGUCUUGACCUAA
rnacentral:rRNA from 1 species